CCUACGGGAGGCAGCAGUGAGGAAUAUUGGUCAAUGGGCGCGAGCCUGCACCAGCCAAGUAGCGUGAAGGAUGACUGCCCUACGGGUUGUACACUUCUUUUUUCAAGGAAUAUAGUGAUGAACGUGUGCCUUUUUGUAUGUCCUUUAUAAAUAAGGAUCGGCUAACUCCGUGCCAGCAGCCGCGUUAAUACGGCGGAUCAGAGCGUUAUCCGGAUUUAUUGGGUUUAAAGGGAGCGUAGAUGUGUGGUUAAGUCAGUUGUGAAAGUUUGCGGCUCAACCGUAAAAUUGCAAUUGAUACUGGCAGCCUUGAGUACAGAUGAGGUAGGCGGAAUUCGUGGUGUAGCGGUGAAAUGCUUAGAUAUCACGAAGAACUCCGAUUGCGAAGGCAGCCUACGAAACUGCCACUGACAUUGAUGCACGAAAGUGUGGGUAUCAAACAGGAUUAGAUACCCUUGUAGUC
rnacentral:rRNA from 1 species